UAAAUUCUAUCUAUUAAGAACAGAUACUUGUAAUCCUUUAGGGCUGCUGUGCAGAAUGAUCAGGAUGACCUUCCCUUUAUGAAAAGCCAUUCUGAUGUCACAGAAAAUAGAUAUGGCAUCUGUAAAUAAAUUAUUCAGAGCUGGGUGCGGAGAUGGAGUUACACGUUGCUGUUGUUAAGAGCAGAAUAUGUAAAGCCCGACCCCAGAGUGCAGCUGUUAUCUUUGUGGUUGGUAUCCUGCAUUUCCUAUCGUUUGUGAUUACAACGUACAAGUGGGGCAGGGAAGCCGGGUGGGGAGAGAGAGAAAAGGAUGCCUGUGCAUGGAGAAAAUUUGGCAUCGGCGCUGAUUGCAAUUAUGGGCUUCUUAGCUCAGGAGCUAUUAGUCUGGAGGAGCAGGUUCCGUUGCUGCUCCCCACUGCACCCCGUUCUUCCCCACCACCCGAAUCUGCAAUUUCAGGGGAACUGAAUGUGUUCACCUUCUGUGUUUGCCAGCUGGACUUUACCCAGGUGACACAAACUGAAUUGUGUCAACAGAUGGCAGAAAAAAGGAGGACAUAAAGGACAGUAUCUCAAGUCUGAAAUAUUAAACAGGUGCAGAGUAAUAAUUUGAAGGAAGGAUGCAUUUAAAUGGCGUACUCUGAAGGCGCAUAAAGGAGAUGCAAAGAUACGCUUUUGCUGAAUUGCGGCCUAGCUAUGGCGGACGUAUAUCUCACAGUGCAGUCCUAUUCAUGUCUACACAGAGGCAAGUCCCAUGGAGUUCUACAGGACGUACAUCUAAAAUCCCCAU